GAGGCUUCACCCCUGUGGUGCUCCCCCGCCAAUCCUUUAAGUUCAUACUUGCGUACGUACUUCCCAGGCGGCAGACUUNUUAAACGGCUUCCCUGGNNCGGCANNCUGCAUUGGGUCCACAAGCCAAUGCAUCACCGAGUCUGCAUCGUUUACAGCUGGGACUACCCGGGUAUCUAAUCCGGUUUGCUCCCCCAGCUUUCAUCCCUCACCGUCGAGCGUGUUCUGGUACACCGCCUUCGCCACAGGUGGUCUUCAAUAGAUCAAAGGAUUUUACCCCUUCCUAUCGAGUACCGUGUACCUCUCCCACUCCCUAGCUGCACAGUAUUUUCGGCGGCCUAUACGUUAAGCGCAUAGAUUUAACCGAAAACUUAUGCAACCGGCUACGGAUGCUUUAGGCCCAAUAAACCUCCUGACCACUCGAGGUGCUGGUUUUACCGCGGCGGCUGACACCAGAACUUGCCCACCCCUUAUUCACCAGUGAUUCUACAACUGACAAAAGACUCCUUUAGCAGGAGACACUCGGAUUAACCUUGUCGUGCUUUCGCACAUUGCAAAGGUUCUCGCCUGCUGCGCCCCAUAGGGGCU
rnacentral:rRNA from 1 species